rnacentral:rRNA from 1 species
UACGGAGGGUGCAAGCGUUAUCCGGAUUCACUGGGUUUAAAGGGUGCGUAGGUGGAUUAGUAAGUCAGUGGUGAAAUCUCCGAGCUUAACUCGGAAACUGCCAUUGAUACUAUUAGUCUUGAAUUAUCUGGAGGUAAGCGGAAUAUGUCAUGUAGCGGUGAAAUGCUUAGAUAUGACAUAGAACACCAAUGGCGAAGGCAGCUUACUACGGAUAUAUUGACACUGAGGCACGAAAGCGUGGGGAGCAAACAGG